AACAGGAUAGAGAGAAAAAAAGCAGUCGAAAGCGAGAGAAAAAAAUUAUAGUGUAAUCUCAUCAAGGUAAUUUUUUUUUAGAAAUCUUGUUUUAUGGAAGCCAAAGAAGAAGUAACGAUGUGGAAUGCUUGCAUCCUGAUAUUGUAUUGAUUUAAAGUUUCUCAUCUGCAUGAGGUAGCCCAGGUAUGCUGUAUUUUAGCAGGAAAAUUUGGUACGCGUUUUACUUAGAACACUGUUUUUCGAGAGGGAAAACAAGUAUUCAUAAGUAAACGUUCAUUUAAGUUUUGAAUAAUUCUUCUAGAUUACAAAUCUAUGCAAAUCUAUGCUAAGGCUAGAAUGUUCUUAACGCAUUUUAUAGGUUUCUCCAACUAAUAUCUAAUGUUACUUUUGCAUUGUUUGUUCUCAUAUUAAAAAAAGAGUACAGUUUGCUGUGAAUUUUUUUAUGCCUUCAAUAUUGAUAAAAUUAGAUUUUUUUCAGGAUUCACUUAGAAAUCUUUAAAUAGAACUGCAUUACUAUUUUUAUAACUUUGAAACACACGUUCAUGUCAACUAAAUAUAUUCAUUUUAUUUUCUCGAGAAGGACGUCUUGGAAAUAUAUCUAGGUACUAGAGAAUAGUUAAGGACUUCGGCAAUUUGUGCGGUUUAGUACUAAAACUUUAAAGAAGUUGUGUGAUCCUACUGAAGUUACAAAAUUGUUCAGCAAAACCUAACACAGAUUUUAAGUUUUUCUUGUUUUGGAAAAUAAAAUCUUGAAGUGAAAGCUAUUAAAAGAUGGCCACUUGAUUUAAGGUAUUUCUAGUCGACAGAAAAUUGAAUAAAUGCACUUGGAAAGUAAAGUUGCGUAUUCACGCAAGAGUUCUAUUAUCUUGUUCACGAUAUUUCAUUGACAAUAAGCUCUCUUCAUUGACAAUCUGUGACAUUGCCUGGAAACCCUGUAGUUUAAACAAAAGAUCUAUAUUCGGCCUAACUUUUUCUCAUUACCGAGACUGGCAAGAGUUACCAGGAAACGAAAGAAAUUUUAGAAAUGAUUAGUCAGCAUAUUGAAACUUAUUUGUUUUUUCUAUGGCCAACAAAGAUAGUCCUCAUUGAUUCGAAACGUUUCAACAAACCGACAAAGUACAUUAAAAAAAGUUGAGUUAAUUUCCGAUUUAGUUUUGUAAUUAAUUCCGCACAAAUGGUCAUAUUAAAUAAUUACGGAAAUAUCUUUUGUAAUAUUUUAAGUAGACGGGGAUUCAUCUGAUCCCAAGUCGUCAUUUUUUUCUUGGUACAAAGCUGAGAUUUUCUACUUAAUUCUAUCUAAAGUUGACAUUUUUAACUUAAUCCAAGACUGCCAGUUAAGCAAAUAUAGUGUUAAUUCAAAAAUAUAAUUGACGAAAAAUUAAACUUGUUACAUGAGAAAAUCGAACUUAUAUACGGAGGAUUCUUCAACCAUGCAGCGUUCUCUCAUUUACACAGAUCUACAAAUCAGACACUCUUUCGAUUUUAUGUUGCGUAAAAAGCAGCAUAAACUACAAGUCGACAUUUUUACAAAGCUGUCCAGUAGCUAUAUCAGCCUGCCGUGGCAAAAAUAAGAAAACUUAAACUCAUUUUUCUAAAUUAUUUCAUUCUUAACCAAAAUAAUUUUAUGCGUAAUUUGAUUGCAAACCUUGUUACCAGGAUAAGAUAAAAUCAAUCCACAAUCAAUGCACUAGUUUUCGCAGGACCCGAUUUUCCGGCUCGAAGAAUGUUGCAUUUUGCUGGUCGGUCGGUCAUUUUUUAAGCAUUUCGUGGGUACCUAACUUCGCGAAUUCGGUCAAAAUCCGCGAAAAUUAACGCUCAUAAAUAUUAGUAGCAUUUGGUAUAUUUUCCAAUAGUUAAAAAGCACACACUCUGUUUUCUUUUUUAUCUUAGUGGUGAAAUCAAGAUAUGCGUCGUGCGGAAAUACAAUAGAAAAGUACAGUAAACUGAUCCAAUAACAUCAGCCAAAUCUUGUAAAAUACAUGAUAUUAAAAAACACAAAACAACAUCAUUUCUUUUAAAGUGGAAUAGACAUAAUUGGAUAAUAUUUACAUGCUUAGUGACCAGUUAUGUGAAUGUUUUCCAGGUAUUCAAGUGCGUGUGUGAGAUGAAAAGAGAGGGAGGGGUUGACUAAUAAGUUUUUAUACAGCACGCAUCCGCUAUUUCUUACAAGCUAGAGAUAAGGAAUUCAAUUUGACACUAGUUUGUUAAGGCAAGAGAAACCAAGAAAUUCGUUUUAAAUAGGGAGUUUCGCUUGAAUUUAUAAUUAGAUAGCUACGUCCCCAUAUUAAACCUCUCCUUUGUUACCGCCAAAUAUUAUUCUUUUCUAGCUUUAACGAAGAUACUUCAGUCAAUCUUUAAUUUAAAGGAGAAAACGUUUACGUGUAUGCUACUUAACACAAACAGAAAUAGUCAGAAACUUUUCACUCUGAUAGAUGUCAUGACUUUGCUUUUUCUAAAAGUCGUACAAGUUUUAUAUGGCGAGAAACAUGAUUAAAACAUUGAUUUCGAUUAAGACACCAGCCCAACUGAAGUUAAUACACAAAUUUGAUCUUCACAACAGCAACAAAUAAGCCACACUUGAGCCUGAAAAGUUUUGUUUUAUUCAUAAAAAUCGUGUUGUUAAAAAAACCUAUCUUCUACUCCAUGGGAUAUUAAGUUAAUUAUUUGAUCGAACUUAUUAGUUAUCAUUUGUCUACUUAAACUUAAUUGUAUGUUGAAUGUCCGACGAAAACUACGUAUUAUCUUGAUGUUGAUUUAUUUGUCGGCCUAAUCUGACAUGGUAUAUGACAGUUGUGAUGAUGGAUUGUAAUAUAUGUUUUAAUUUACUCUUCUGCUUCGACGACGAAAAACAAACAAAGUGUUUAAAAUGUUCCAUACGGUGUCCUUGCUUUAUAUCUGCGCUAAUUAGCACAAUGGAAUAUUUUCUUUUUAAUGGCGGUGGCUUUUUUUCAUUCAAAGACAACCCCAUUUUAAACCUGAACAGAAACUCCAAAAAACACUUCUGUUUUCUGUGCAAUAUAUUAGUAUUUGCUUUUCUUUUAUUUCAGAACAAUAAGUUAGUAAAUGUGUGUGAGUUAAUUUUGCAGCAUACGUUUGCACUUAUAUUAACUUGCGUUAAAGUUACCUUAAGGGAAAAAAUAAUAUAGAAGAAAAAAUGCGAAAUUAAUGCUUGCGAAUUUGCUCCGUAUUCGCAAACUUAUGUUCCGCAUGUUUUAAACAAGGAAAGACAAUGGCCUUUUUGUUUUCGGCAUUUUACAUUAUUCUCAAGGUCCUAUUCUUAAAUUCUGCAUUGAUUUGCAAAUAAUAUUUUUAUAAUAAUAUUUAAGCUAUUGCUUGUUAAAAAACGCCCCUUGGCGUAAAUGACGUUUUUUAGAAGUGGGCGUUUAAACAUGUAGCGUUUAACAGAAGCGUCACAGUAGAUACAUUGUUAUUUAAACAAGAAUUCCUCAGACUGAAUAAUUUAGAUUAAUUUGUCAGGAGGUUUUGUUUAUCUGUGAAGAGGAAUUUAAAUCUCAAUGGUAAGGCGGCUAUUAUUAUCUAAAUAGAUCAGCUAUUUGCUUUUGAGAAUUUACUCGAUUUCAGACAAUAGAACAUAUUGUUCUACCGAGUUGUCAAUUGUACCAAAUCUAUGAAGACCACAUAGGUAUGUACAAUGUUUACGACUUUUGCUAGCUGCAUUGUUAAUGUUCUUUUUCUGUUAGGAAAAUUGAUAGCGUAAAAGGAUAGCUUUUUUGUAAUUAAAUUUUUGGAGAUAAAAAGCCUAUUUUACAAUCUUAUGUGUACCUAGUGUUUUGUUUUAACUGACUAAAAGACCAAAUUGAUCUGUCUAACAUAUAUGAAAAGGUUAAAAAUCCAUUUUUUGUACAUAUUAUGUGCUUGAAAAGCAAAAAUUUGUUUGUAUAUAUCAUAACCCAUUGUUUGUACAUGGGAAAUCUCUGAAAAUCCGUUAGAGAUAUUAUCGUGAUUAACUAAUUAACAUACUGAUAUUCUUUUGUCUCGAUGUACCAAUACAUUAUUACCUUUUCCAUUCAAACUGUUAUGAUAAUCUUACUUUUGCUUCUGCUAAAUGUCAUGUAGGACUACCAUUGUCACAACAAAUCUUCGUCAAUUACAUAUCCACAAAAAUCACAAUUGUAUUUUUUUCUACCUCACAAAUCCUUUUUGUUGUUGCCAGUUGUUGAACCAAAAUAAGACGAGAUGUUCUGUUCAAAAGAGACUUGGCAUUCGUUCACAUAAGCUCAAUUUUCGUCGAGCUUAAGGUAACGUUGUUCAUUCGAAUAAUUUAUUUAAAAUGGCUCCCUGACAACAAUAAUGUAUGUAUUCUUUUUGUUAAACAUGUACAACAAGGUAAACACACAUAUAUUUGUAAAUUUAAUUUUAUAAAUAUAAAAAGCGCAUUUUUGAUAUUAAUUAUAAAGUAAAGGAUGCGUUAAAAAAUGAAGAAGAUAAUCAUUUGUUCAGAUUAUUACUGGUGUUGUUUUUUAUUUAUUUGUUUUAACCUAAAGUAAAUAAUGGGUUAUGAUAUUCGCUAUACCUUUAUUUUCCGGUUAGAUGUCAUUUGUAUCUAAAUACAGGUCGUAAGGAGGAGUAGCAUAUUAUCUACAACAGCAGAAGUUAUGAAUCAUCGGCCAAGUGUCACUAAAGAAUGCAAAUGUUUAUGACUUCCUAACAAAUUUCAACCUUCUGUUCAACAGUAACUGCUAAUUCGAAAGCUAGUAAUUUGAACAUUUGCUAUUUCGAACAGUUUUCUGUUUUGCUUUAUUAAACUUUUAUAUUUUCUAUACUUAAUUUAAGCAUUCUUCAAUCCUAAUUCCGUUUUGGAUCCAAAGUAGCAUUUGUGUGCUGCAUAUAAUUGGACGAACUAACGCAUGAAUCUAUUGUUCUUCCCAGGAAUAUUUCUUUACCCUUUUGAUCUACAUGUAAGAUUUAGAAGAAAAAAUCUACCGAGUAAAUAAUUUUACUACUUAAAUUGACGAGUUUUAGGGAAUAAUAUGAAAACCUGUGCUUCUGAACGUUUUGAUUGACAAGUGAAACUUGAUACCUAGAGACAGGCAUGACAUUGGUAUUAAACGCAAUUUAUUUCAGCUAGAAUAAAAGUCCUGUAUAAUUACCGUUGCAAUGCACUCAUCUUAACUAAGCUUUGCAAACAUUUUAUUUUGAAUACAUUUACAAUCAUUUUAGUGACGGCAGACAAUCUGGAAUACAGUAACUUUGUCAUUACAUAAAUCUCUUAUUCAGUUCAUCCAACAAUCAAUUUAAAAUCCUGGAUUAAUGUUGAUAACAUAUCCUGUCAGAAGUUUCAAGAUUGUAUUGCCAUAUUUUUCCUUAAGGCAUUCACAUCAAAAAUACCUUAGUUUGAUCCCUAUUGACACACUAAGAACGCCUUCGCAACUAUUGCUUUGCAUCUUACGAAAGAAAAGAAAGCGUUGUUAGGUAUAAUAAGAAAAUUGUUUAGAAUGUGUAUAUUAAGUUGUAUUUCGUUUAAAAUGAUUUAUUGUUUUAUGGUGAUAACAAUUACAAAGGAAGUAGAUAUGGGAUGUUAUUUUUCGUAUUAAAUAACCGCUGCGCUGUAUAUAGACCUCUACAAACAUUUUAGCAGCUUAGCAAUCACUUCAUCAGCAUUAAGAGAUUAUGUAUACUUGACCUUAAUCCUAUUCAAAGAUUUAUUCUAAUACCGGUGGCCAGCGUUUAAUGCUAAUUUGAGUCACACUCCAUAUUUUGACAGCGCAGAUUCCAUUGUUUAGUCAAAACUCAAUGGUUGUCGCAAUAAAGAUAGCUUUUUUAUGGGUUAAUAUUUUAAUCUAUACUUUUAAUAAUAAUUAAAACCAUUGCUGCGUAGGCCGGCUGAGUUUGGUUUCUAAAUAGUUUGGGUUUUUUUUCUGUAGCCUUUAUUCCGCAUUAAAAUUUUAGAAAAGAUAUUAUCAGACUCAAUAAUGGCGACUGAUAGGUGUACACACAGCCACUUUGACAGCAUAUGUAAUUCUGUCCAAUGUUGUGUGCAAAUGACAUUUUCAAGUUUCAACGUACAGCUAUGGAUACCAUAGCCACAGCCGCACUACCAUUUGCGUCAAAUAAAAUCGUAUUUCUAUGCUUUCGAAUCAGCUACAUUCCUUCGCUGUCCUAAUCAACAUUAAUUAAUUCAUAUUAAUCAAUAUCUUUUAAAAUAGUAUAACAGAACCUCAAAUAACCUUUGAACUUUACUUUUCUUCCAGUAGCAACUCGAUAAUUAGAGGUUUAAGAAAAAACCACAGGAAGUAUUGAUAUUAUAAAUAUCUUUGAUAGUUUUUUUUUUUUUUUUUGCGUAGGAAAUCAUUUCAAAUUGCUAGCAAAAUUGAUUAGCACAUUAAAGCAUGGCAAUGUCAAAGAUAGGUGAAUUGGUUACUACUAUUCUAGUGUAUUUUACUGAUUUUACCAGAAGUAGUGGCAGCUUUUAAAUUCAGCUUUUUUAGCUGGGUUAACACGUGGCAGAAACUUGAUGCAAGAUUAAAAUGAAGUUUUAUACAAAAGAAAAUAUUGGAAUACCAAAUAUCUUACUUCCCCUGCGAGUUUAACUUUGUGUUACGGAGACAAAAAUGGACGAAUGCACAAAAUAGCAAAUGAAUAUGUGCGAUAGGCAGAUUUCAGGUAUAUAUAACAUCGUUGAAAGUGAGGAAUUUUUCUCCAAUAAAGGUCAGAGUAGCCAGUUUCGGUUUAUUACUCAUUGUUUUUUUCUUCUCUUUGGUUUCGCCAAAUGUUCUUGCCAAAGAUUUAUAAUACAUUUAUUGUAAAUUUCAUAAAAUUCAUUUGCGUUUUAUUAAUAAAAAAUAAGAAAAAUAAUUUGUUUGAAUUGUGAAAUAUUUGAGCAAAAAGCCUUCUCAAGUAUGAAAAGUUAAUAGUAAAGUUAUGUAGAUAUAGACGUUUUAUCAAACGAACUGCUUGGAUGUUAUCUAUCUUAGCUACAAUGAAAAGCAACAUGAUUUUACCAACAAGCAUAUUUACCUUAAAAUCAUUGUACUUUUAUACUACUUGUAACUAAUCUGCAAUUAAGAAAACAAACAAACAAAUGACUAUAUAAGAAUGCAUUUCCCAUACUUAAACUUGUAUUAGAUGCAAGGGUAGGGGAGCAGGGCUAACUAUCGUGUGUGUAGUUUCCUAAAAAAAUAGAAUACUUUUAAAACUAAAGCUUAUUUAGUAAAAGGGAUUACAUCUUCUUUCCUCGCUUCUCCUUUUCCCUUACUAAGUUUUUUUUGCAGCUGGUCCGACAUUGGUUUGCAUAAAAGACUUCAAACGAUAUAAACUCCACAAGAACUGUGGUAAUAUCAUGGAGCAGCUGUUAAACUUGGAAAAUCCAGUUCAGAAGAUCGAACGAAAACAAUUUGUCAGAAAUUCUUUUGUUGCUUUUAUUGCAAGUUUAAACGUUGAUUAAAUUAGUUAUAGACUUGUUCAGUUUGACAUGAAUAUUCCUGAUUUUUUUUAUCAUAGUAUUUCGGCUGUGUAUGUAGGUUGUGUAUAUAGCAUUGGCACAUUUUGGCAUUUUGACUAAUUACCAUCUUGGUCAACAAAAUCGUCGGAUAGUGUUUAAUUUAUCAAAUUUUAGGUUCGGCUAUUCUUAACUAGCACUUUUAUUGGAAGAUUUUUUUUGAGACAUAAUUAUAUAUGCUGGCGUUGUUACGUUAUUGUUGGUCACCAGGACUUCUGACUAAAACAAGUCAAAGAUUAUGGAGCAGAGAGAAUUGCUAGGAACGACACGGUAAGUCUUGACUUUUUCUAAAGUUUCUUUUUCUCCUGUAAGCUCGUUUGGCUUGUAAGAUUUGACAUAUUGGUGUUCUAAUAUAUUAGUUUCCAUUAAAAAUGUUCACAUUCCUAAAAUCAUUAGCUAUUCAAAGGAAAAUUACUAUAUGCCUCGGGCGCUUCAUUAGAAAUCCUUUCCAUUUUCUCAAGUGACUAACUAAUUUUCUGCAGACAAAGAGCAAUUAAAUUAACCAUCUAAUUGCGCUUAAAUUGAACAAUUGUGCUUGUUUUUCAACUACGAAAGAAAAAUUUGAAUUCUUAGAUUUCGAAAAUUUUAAAACAUUUCGGUAGCUAGUGUCACAUGACAGAAGUUUUGUUCCAGAUCUUAAAGAUAUUUUUAGCUGCGAGCAGUAUUGAAAAUAUGUUUUGAUGCAUUCAUGGCAACUUUGGUUAAUCCAAUAUCCAGGUAAUUUACUUUUGUUUAAAAAACUUUAAACCGUAAAACGACGCUACAAAUUAAUUAAGUAGCCUUUAAAAAGCUUUUUAAUAUAGAAUUCCGAUCAUAAAUGUUUUUGUUUUUUACUUCAAGAAAGUUUAUAGCAAUGCUGGCGUGUAUAAAGAAAAUUGUCGCCACUAUUAUUUCCGCUGAUGAUUCUUCCUAAUUGAAUCUUUACAUAUGCCUGAUUUAGAUUCUUGAAACUUAUAGCAAGUUGUUUUUAAUGCCAUUUCAUAGUUUUAGCUCAAGUAUUUCCAAUUCCGUUCUUCUUUCUCUAAUACAAGUAUGUUUUGUUAGAAAACGUUUGCAACAACACUAUGAACUGAGGAUGCUUAUACUUGCUGCUUACUGUACUAAUUAAAGCUCACCCUUCUUAUAUUUCUCCCAUUAUUAAAGAUAGAUUCUUAUAUCAUUUUUUUCUAUGAGUAUGUAUAGGCUCAUUUGUCAUUGCAUAUGUUGUGUCCCAAAUUGUAAUAAUUGUCCCAAUUUGUAUUAACACCUGCCCCAAUUUGUAAUACCUGCCCAAACUUGUAAUAACAACUUGCCCCAAUCUGUAAUAAUAGAGUUGUUCUAUUUUGUAAUAACGUUUGCCCCAAUUUGUAAUAACACCUGCCCCAAUUUGUAAUAACUCAAAGCUGCCCCAAUUUGUAAUAAAACCUCGCCCCAAUUUGUAAUAACCCCUCGCCCCAAUCUGUAAUAACAUGGAAAAUACUAUAAUUACUUUCCCGCAGUUUUAGCUAGCCGAAUUGACAGGACACACUAUCUGCCAAGAAUUUUUUAUUAAUGUAGCGCACGUGCUGUCAAGGGUAUAAUAACGGAAAAAAUGGUUGAAAGAACAAACAGAAGUUUCUUUUUUUUCAAAAAAAAAAAAUGAACAAAUACCAAAAUAUAUACAAAAGUAAAAAUCCUCGAUCAAUUUUCUUUUGGCCAUAUGAUAAGCAAGAUUGCGUACCAUCCAUACGUUAAGGCUUGCAACGCCAACGCGGCUUGAUUCCAUCUUAUGAAUCUACCUAUUUUGCUUUUCUCUGGCCGGUUAGUGUCGUUUGAUAGAACUUGUUUUAAAUGCAGUGAAAUACCACUGCAUCUUUUACCACUGACAUCAAUCAAAUAUUUCGCUCUGACUGUCCUUAAAGGUGGUAUUUGAUUUUUAACCAUCUACAAAUAAAUUUUUGGAGCCUUUUCGCAAUCAUCUUUCUCAUCAACCAAUCCAUUUUCAUCGAACACCUAUUCGCUACCAUCCCCCUCAUUAACCAAUUCAUUUUCAUCGAACACCUCUUCGCUCCCAUUUCCUUCAUCAACCAAAUCAUUUUCAUCGAACACCUCUUUGCUAACAUCUCCCUCAUCAACCAAUCCAUUUUCGUCGAACAUCUUUUCGCUACCAUCUCCAUCAUCAACCAAUCCACUUUCAUGGAACACCUCUUUGCUAGCAUCUCCCUCAUUAACCAAUCCAUUUUCAUCAAACACAUCUCCGGAACACCUCUGAGGAAAAAAACAUUAGACUAGACAUCUUUCAUUCAUUUUUUUAAAAAACGCUAUUUUAUAAAAACGAAAAAAGUGUACAAUCAACAAAAAACACGUCCAAACAACUUUUUUGUACAUAUGAUGCACGUAAACUAACUGAACAUCUUUGACAACAAUAUUAUAAUAAGGUCAAAUUUGGUUUUGAGCUGAAGGUCUUUCAACCUGUUUCAUUUUAUUUUCAAUUCAUUAUAAAUAAUGAUUCCAUACUUUCCUAUUGUCGUAUAACAAAACAUGUCCAGUUUCAUCUACCGUGAAUCUUCCCUUCGAUCUCCAAAAUUUCACAACAGAGCUUUUUUCAAUCCUUGGUCUAUCUUUUACAGGCGUGUUAAAUCUACCACUUGCAAGUUUGACAAUCGCGGCGUAUUCUUCGUCACCAAGCGGGUGUAUAUAAUCUUUUUACGAUAAUGUUAAAGAUAUCAAGAUAGGGAAGAAUAAAAGUAACUUCGUUGUUAAUGUUGUUGUUUAUGCCAAUCUCAUUCGUUCACUAACACUCGAACAUUGCGACGCAACCUGGUUUUUAUGCAUUACGAUCCUAUUUGUUUCUAUUAAUAUAAGUCGGUGAUGAAAAGAAUAAAUUAAAGUUACACGAAAAAAAUUUAAUGUUUAUUUUCCGACUGGUCCUGUACAGGGUUUAUUAACAAUAAAUAAAGGCAUGUUUUUUUCCCUCUCGAAUUUUUACAAAGGAUUUUCAAAAUAAAUAUUUUCGAGGAAGGAAAUUAUUACAAAUUAGGGCAAGGUGACAUUACAAAUUGGGGCAGUUUUGAUUUGUUACAAAUUGGGGCAAGCGUUAUUACAAAUAGGGGCAGGUGUUACAAAUUGGGGCAGGUAUUACAAACUGGGGCAAGUAUUACAAAUUGGGGCAAGUAUUACAAAUUGGGGCACAACAACAUAAGCGUUAGUAACGUUUUUUUAAACUGGGAUGAUAAAGAACAUCUAUUAAAUUCGCCAAAUUUCAGUGCUACCUAUAAAAAAUAUAUGCUUAAAAUUUAAAGUUCAUGCCUGUUUAUAAAAGUAAAAUAAUUUAAAAUGCUUAUUCAAGUUGCUUAGUGAGGUUGUUAUGAACUUGUCGUUUCUCCGCUGUCUAACUUUCAUUAAAAUUAAUUGAGGAAAAUGUCUAACGUAAUGUGAAAUGUUUCGUUAUUGUUUUUUUUACUAUGGUAAGUGUUGUAGUGAAAAAAUGUUUUGGGCGGGUAAAGGGCUGACUCCACGCCACAUAUUUCCCACAAAAGUUGAAACAGGACAGGGGCGAAUCCAGGAUUUUUUUCUGGUUAGGAAAAAUUUGGUAAAUUAGGUAGGUUAGGUAAAUCGGCCGUUUUGUGUUUUUGCUGUAAAAGGAGCUAAUAUUUUCCCAAAAGUAAGGUUUUUAGUUAUUAAAAAUCCUUCCUAGAUUAGAAACGAAAAUUUCUUUACAGCCAAAUAAAAAACAGUAACCUCCGUAGUUUUAACACUUUAUCCUUGUUAAAACAUGCGGAUGGAAAAUGCGUCCGUUAAGCAAAUUCGAUUCGAAACAGGGUUAGCAUUUCCAUAGUUUCUUUGAAUGACAUACUGGUAAUAAGUAUCAUCUAAGCAUCUUUUUACGUUUUACGCACAUAAUACGAGUACAAGUAAUAAGUAGGGGAGUUGCUUCAUUUCAAAAUAUGCAAUAAGUCUAAUAACUAACAAUACAACAAAAAUUACAUUACAAGACAAUUUUAGGAAUAGAUAGUCGACAGUAGUGCAACGUAGAAAUAUUGUUUGGAAUAUUAUAGUGUGUGUUAAUAACCUGCAAAUGCAAAAAGAAAAGCAGCAUAUAAAAGUAUGAAAGCUUUCCAGUUAGACUGCGUAAGAUAGCCACAUAUAAUAAACGUCUACAAAGAGUAUAUAGUAAUCACCUCUUCAUAAAGUUAAUACAGUUUAGUAUUAGGGUUACUGGUGUAGUUUUGCACCAAUUUCUAUUAAGCAUUAAUUUUAAUGUUAUGAAAUUCCCACAACAGUAAGGCAGUUUAUUAAGCCAGAAAAGAGUUAAAAAUUAGAAAAAUAACAUCAAAACAUUUAACAUGUCUGUAUAUUAUUUACCCUCGCAAGUCCCUGUCAACUAUGUUUGAAAAAUAUUUUAAUACUGUAAAAUCUUUAGGAAAGUUUUAGUAACUAUAGGCCAAUUCUGAAGAUUCUCAUAUAAAAAGCAACAUACAUACAAAUCCUACUCAUAAUCAUAAGUAAACAUGACAUUUUCAUUGGUUUACAGUCUGUAACAGAGCAUUCUUUAAUACGCAAUUCUUGUUUCGAUUCUUGUUUCGAUCUGUAUUGUUUUAUGCGAAACUCAUUUCUAUGAUUUACUCGAAUGUUCACAAGUUAUUUUGAUUGAUUUUUUUCACCAACUUUGUGGAUUAUACCAGAUAUAUAUCCAUUGUUUACAGUUUUCCAAUAUAUAUUAUAAGGAUUCAGAACAAAUAUUCUGUGUUCUUUAAUUGAUGAUGAUUUUCGUUGUCAGAAGAAUAUUCAUCAUAGGUACUAGGAUGAGAUCAAAAUAUCUUAUCCUAAAACAAAAUUAUAUACGUUGUAUUGCUCAACAAGAGAAUAAGAAAUAUUAUAAAACAAACUUGGACUAUUCUUAGAUUAGGUAUUGCUUCAUUCUUUUGUUUUUAGCAAUUUUAUUACAAUUAAAAGUAGCAUGGAAAAGUUAAAGAGAUCUCAUGUUCUUAAAUGUUCUAAAAUGAGCAGUGGAAUGUUGUAUAUAAAAUGCACUGUUUAAAAGUUCCCACAAAGUCAAAGUUCUUAGGGACAAUCACAAUAAAAAAGUAUAUGCUAAACGUAUAAAUUUGGCGGUGGGACGAGGUAGAAUCCUUUGACAUUUAAGUAUAUCUCAUACUGUAUACAUCGAUUUCUUAGAGAACAGAAAGUUUUUUGAACUUGUAAUGUGUACCUGCUUAACAGGGACACAUGGCCAAGUGCUUAUGAUUUCAAGGACUGACAACAUUUAAAUAUUACCUUUUCUGAUUUUGAUGUUUAGGGGAAGGAAAGAUGAUCUGCAGAUCUAUCAACAUUUAGCUUGGACUUUUGCGUUCAUGAAAGAGCUGUCUCUUAGUUAUCUUACAAGAAUGUUUUCUCUCCCAAACAGAAACAAAGAUACACAGUUGCAUAAACAGCUACACGAAGCCUACACGAAGCCUGUGACCUUAAGACUUAAACAAAAAAACUAACAAAAUUCCAACUAAUACACAUACAGGCGGGAAGAAAUAAUAUCAACAUGUCAAUUUCAUAAAGGGCGAAAAAAAAAGUACAAUAGAAUACAACAGACUCAUAGUUAUAGUAUUCGACGCAAUAAAUUAGAACAAGGAGAAGAAGAUUCAUUACUGAAGUUUAACUUGGUUUUUCUUCUUACCUUACCAAGUUUUCUCGUGGAAUUUAUACGAUUCGAAUUGUUUUCUAGCAGAAACAUUUUCUAGUAGAAUUUCUUUCGAAUAAAAUAUUAGUAUGCUGCAUUAUCCAUUUAUAUCCGUGACGAAAUAACCGUUGAAACAAUCCAUUUUACCUAGAUUACAAUUUCAAUGAGAUCACUGAAAUUAUAUUUUGGUUAGAAAGGAAUGAUCGUGGCAAUUAUUGAAAUUAAGUCAAUUUAAACAAGGUUUUGUCAAAAGACAUUUUUAUAAAGUAGAUAUUUUAAGUAUUGCUCUUUUGUUGCAAGAAAGUCAGCUAUCUGUAGAUACCUGUGUUGUUUUGCUGAACAUAAAGUUGGUGAGAUAAACAUUUGUAUGUUUUCAAAAAUACAUGUCUCUAAAACAUAGCAAGAUAUACUUUAUAGUACUUAUUUUAUGGUUGACUAAGCAAGAUAAACAGCGUUUCAGAGAGUGACAGAUAUUUUUUCCUUAUAGACCACUAACAAUUUUUGGUUAGUGGUCCGGAAUUAUGUGAUCUGUUAUUAAAUUUUAUUUGUGUUACUUACAGUGUAAAAAGACAUCUAUGUUGGGGGAAAUGUGUGAAAAUGUAUGUGGUAUUAAAAAAUAUAAAAAUAUAAGAAAUUACUCGUGAUUUGGCAAAAUAAUUAAGUUCUCUAGGCGCCUGGCUGCAGGAUUGCAAUAAAAAGCUAAUUUGAGAAUUGUAUUUUGACCUUAAAAGGUUUUUUAAAGAGAUAUUUAUUUUUAUGAUAAUAUCUUGUUGUAAUAUUUUGGAUGAAGGUCACGCAUCGUUUGACAUUGAUCAAGGCCAUGGUUUUCUCCGUUGUUACCUGGCAAGGCUAGGAGCGAUUGAGGGCUACUGCCUAUCCCUGUGUGUGGCACGCAACUAUAGUAUGACCAUAAUACACGUUAUUCUAGCGGAUACUGUAGUAUAGAUCCUGUCACAGAAGAAGGGGAACUAACUAUCACACUCCUACUGAUUGAGAUUGGGCACGUGUUAAAAAGUUCAACGAGGUGAUUGUUAAUCUCACUGAGGGAAAUAUACUAUAAUAUUUGCUCGGGAUAUGACCAACUUGUCUUUUUUUAAUUUUGUUUUGAUUUUUCUUUAUUGAAAUCUGUCUUUGUAUUCGCUCUGCGUGAAUGCUGGUUUGAGUUUUUUUAAAACGUAAUGCAACUCAUUACACGAUUAGAAGUGUGAUGAAAAUUUAAGCUUUUUAAAAUAUAGAUUUAGUUAUUGUGGUAUGAACCGGAAAUUAGGCUAUACUUUUAUCAUCCCAGAAUUAAAAAAUACGAUGAACUACUUUCUUUCAGCAGACGAACAGAUAAGCAGGAGAAGAAAUAGCUUUAAGAUGGUUGUGUGAGUGAUUAUCAAUAAAAAUGUAUGUCUGGCUCCGUCUUUCAUCGUACGCACUAUACAUUGUGGCUGGCAUGGUCAUAAUAAAGAUGAUCGACAUAGUAUUGUCAGAAGUGAGAUAUCGAGAAGUCAUUAAUAAUUAUACUGGAGUUUGAUGUUUACAGUUGUCGGGGAAUAUUCAACGAAUUACCUAAAUCUUUUUUGCUUGCAUAUAUUUUAAUUUAAAUAAGUUGUGAACCACUGGUAAAAUAACAAGACUCCACAUAAGCUAUUACUUUUUUGGUAAUGUCAAACAACAUAUAUAAACGUCAUUUUUUCUAGACAAUUAGGACAUUUAUCUUUACAACCGGAAAAGUAACAAAUAGAUUUCAUUGACAGUUUUUAUAUUGUAGAGAAGUAACUACUCAAUUUGCAGCCACGCUUCCAGAUUUACUUAAUGGAAUUUCGUCCUUCAGAGUACCACACCCUUUGUCAUUAUCAUACCUUUAGGUUCCGAAUAAGUGGGAUUCUUAUCUUUUUUGUGUAAACAUAUCCGCAUCUAAAUGUGUGUCGAUUGUUGGUAACGUAUAAAAAAACUUAAAUAAAAAGUAUCGGUAAGCUUGUGUUUAAGGUUAUUUUUCAUACAUAUUCGUCCUUGGAAUUAAAUUUGGCAAAAGAUGAAACCUAUUACUUCAUGCGAAAACAAAGUAAUGGAAUUAGAAAUACCUCUAGCUUUUGGUGGACCACAUUCACGAAAAAAUAAUUCUUGCGUCGUUUAGUAACCGUGAUUUUUUCUAUACCUAUGUAGCUGGCACAGGGAGGGACAAAGAGAGAUAUCGUAAUUAAAGUCUUUACUUCUCGAAUUAAAAUUAUUGUAAAAUAAAUACUUUUAUGAUAGCAUUUGUUUUACGGCGCUCUAAUUUAACCGCAAACCUUAUCUCACCUGUGAAAGUUUUUUGUUUAUUUAUAUGAACUAGGUCAACGAUUUCAAAGUUGUAAAUUACUAUACAACAAGGACAAGUAACAAGAAGACGAUAGCAAUGUAUAUUCUUAUUAUGAAGUUCAAUAAUCUAACUGUUGAUAUAUAAAAACUUUAAUGUGAAACAAUAAUCCACUAUAAGGGCGGGUGCUAUCAUUUCACUAUAGGAAAUUGUUUCUUUGAUUUUGUAGUAUAGGAGAAUGAAAUUGAAAAGGCAUGCGUUUUGUUUGUUUUGCAACUAGUUAAGAAUCACAAGUGAGAAUCAUGGCUACUACUUGGUGAAGACAUACAGGAGCAAUGUUUAUUUUUUGUUUGUAUAAAAAUAUGAAGGUUGUCCAUAGUAACUGUUUGCAUAGAUUGACGUUUUUGAUAGCUCAUUUUUUCUUUAUUGACUUAUUUAAUGUCAUAAUUUAUUUGUUUAUUGAUUACCGUGGUUAUUGAAAAGAGUUAUAAAAGUGAUUCGUCAUGACAACAAGUGCUUUAGCCUUAAAAUUUAACUUGAUUGGUGCAAUUGGUACAUCAAUACAUACGUGAAAAUGCGCAAAUACAUUUGAUUGUCUUAAAUCAUUGAUUUCAUGCGUCACCUAAGUUGCUGGAAUCCUUGAUCAGAACUAUCGACAGUAGAUUACAUCGUAGGCCAAGAGUGGGAGGACGUUGGUAGGAAAGGAAUAAUUCUAUUUUUUCGCAAUCGAAACAGGUUUAAUUUGGACCCACAUACAUUUAAACUGUGCGAUUUCGUAAUGGCAUCCUUCCUUAAAAUUUUUUUAACUCCUCAAAGUAAACUAAAUAGUGGAGCUAAAAUAGGUCACGUUGGAAAUCUUAUCAAUUUUCUACAUCAAUAAAUAGCUUGUAUUGGUGUGUAAUUUAAAUACGUUUUAUUAUAAAAGUUUGCAAAGAAAAUCUGGAAAAUAAAUACUACAUACAUUAAAUGCGACGAUGUUAUACAGAACUUGCUGGCAAAGCAUAAUCGCUCUUACUGCAUGAACCAGUAAGAAAGAAAUGGAAUUGAGUUAAUUUUUACUUUGGUAUACACACGACACAAAAUGACAGCGAAAAUGCUUCACUGCUUUACGAUAAAUGGUUAACAGUUUGUAUGUGUUGAAUAAGACAUUUUUAUAUGAAAAAUAUUGUAUCAUCGUCAUUUGCCAUGUUCUAUAUCAUUUACAAGGUGGAACUGUCCGGCAAAAUAAAGGUAUUAGCAAAUUUAAAUUUAAGUGAGUAGAGAAAGUUAAAGUUAAACUUCUUAUAAUUAACAUCUUCUCUUUUUCUCCUUCUGUUUAUCUCUUGUUUGUUGCCUGUUUGUUGUUUGUUGUCUCUGGCAGUCAUUUUACUUUUUACUUUAAGUUUCUUGUUUCUUCUUUGUUUUUUUCUUGUUGUUCUUACUUCUUUUAUUUGUAUUCGGGUUUUUUUAUUUGUUUUCUUUCUAAUUUCUUGUUUUCUGCUUUUUAAUAAAGGGAAGGGAGAUCAUGCUAAGAUAGUCUUCUUUUUUUCCCCUUUUUCUUUUCCCAUUCCUCAUUGUCUCGUCUCUCCCGUUCUUGACUUUAGCUUCCCUCUUAAUGUUUUUAUCUAUUCUAUAGUUUCUUUUUGUAUUUUUCUACUUACCAACUUAUUGCCUUCUGUUGCUUUCUCUGGAUUUCUUUCUUUUGUCUUCUAGCACUCCUUCUUUCUUUUUAGUUUCUUGCCCCUGCUUCUUGUUCCUUGCGAUAGUGUUCUUGUUGUUUGCUUUUCAUGUCUCAGUUUAUAAAUUAUAAAAGUUAGGUAGCCUUUACAGAGGGUAAUUUACAUAAAACGAGUCUUCACACCACAAAGAAUUGUGCCAUAUUCACGAGGUCGAAAUGUUUCGUUCAAUUUGACCGAUAUAAAACCAACAUUGAAAUGAAUUUUAUUUCGUAUCAUGUAAACACUGAUUCGCCCAGAAACCGAAAUUGAUUUUUUAUGUCGCCCCUCAAAUAAAACAUCAUGUAAAAACUACAUUACUUAAACACGACGUGAAACAUGACGACCCUUUCUAAAAUAUUCCUGUUUCGUUUCAGUUCAAACAUUCAGCAUAUCGAUUGUCAUUUUCUUCUGUUGCCAAGUAUAAUCCCUGAACAUUAAAUAUAAAUAAGUAAGGUAUGAAAAACUUGUAUCUAUGUAGUCGUGACUAACCAAACAGAAAAAAUAUAACAGCCUAAAAAUCCAGACGACAUUUAAAGCUUAUUGCUUGUGGAAGGGUAUACCAUGCUAGAGUGCUUCAGACAAUGGUGACAUAAUAAUAGUUAUUCCCUAUCUUACAACAGAAAACAAUCCUUCAUAAUGUUACAAAACACCUAUCACAAGAAAAAUAAUUUGAAAAAUUUUACUAAUCGUACUGAAGGUUAGCCUAUCAAUUCUUGGGGAUAAAUUUGUUCAAAACAAGGCCAUAAAUGUAUUUCUUUUAUUUAGGAUUACUUUUAUAAAUAUCUAGUUAUUUCAGUUGUAUGUUCUGUAUAUUUUUUAAUGGACCAAAUAUAUUUGUUUACAAAAAACAGUUAGAAGUGUAACCGUGUUGGUAAGAAUGUAAAUUUUAUAUUCAAUGUAAAUCUCCGUUAUCUAUACCCACCAAUCCGACAACUCUUUCUUGGGCAUUAAACGGGGAAUUAAAAGAAUAACUAAACUAAAUGUAAAUUUAAUUUUCUAUAUAUAAAUUUGCAGUUAUUUAUACUCAUCAACCAAAGAAUAUUUCUUGCGCGUCAGAGAAGAGAACUAAUUACUAACCUGAAUCGUUAGCAUAUACUUGUUCUUUGAGGUACAGAAAAUGUACACAACAAUGAGCAU